rnacentral:snRNA from 1 species
CACAUGUCAUUUUCUUGUG